GUUAUAGGGUCAAGCGAACAAGUGCAUGUGGUGGAUGCCUUGGCGAUCACAGGCGAUGAAGGGCGCGGUAGCCUGCGAAAAGCUACGGGGAGCUGGCAAACAAGCUUUGAUCCGUAGAUGUCCGAAUGGGGAAACCCACU
rnacentral:rRNA from 1 species